GGGGAUAUAGCUCAGUGGUAGAGCACAUGCUUGGCAUGCAGGAGGUCCUGGGUUCAAUCCCCAGUGCCUCUG